rnacentral:lncRNA from 1 species
GCGGCCGGGGCUUCCUGCCCCUCCCAUUUGGGGUGGAAAGAGGCGAAAUCGGAAGCGAGCGGCUGGUUGGAGGAUUCGGAGCUGGGCCGGGCCAGAGGUUCCCGGGAUGGACCCCGAGAGGCCGGGAUCUGCGCCCCUGCCCUGCACCCUGCAGCCAUCGAGCGAGCCAGGCUUUGUGCCGCUUCCCUUCUUCCUCCGGCACGACUCCCCAAUGUCCUGGGACCUCUGCGCCCAUAUCCCGGCUGCCGAGAGCCUGGACUCGUGGGAGAGCAGCUUGCUGUGGGAUGGAGGGUCUCUGGUCAUCGCCAAUUCUUCCCAGGGGCAGCCGGGGACGCCAGGGGGAGCUGGCUCCAUCUCCCCACAGCCACCUCUGGAUCUCUCCGGGUUUCCUUUGGCCGAGCCCUGGGACGUCCUCUCGCCGGAUGCCCCCGCUGACGCAGCCCCCGAUUUCGUUCACCCCCUGGUGACGGCUGUUCACCUGGAUCCUGGUGCGCCGUGGUUGAUGUCAAGGAUAAAUCCAGCUGGAUCUACCCCCACUCCACCACUUCUGGAUCCCGCUGGUUUUCCUUCGCCCGAGCUCUGGACCGGGCCCCACAUGGACGCCCCUCCUGACGCAGCUCCCGAUCCUGCUCUGCCCCCCGUGGCUGCUGCCUGCCUGGAUCCCGCAGACGUACCCCCGACAUCAAUGACAAAUCCAGACUUGGGUGAAGUCUUGGCCCACGUCUCUCACACUCUGAGAUGCCACCCCAAGGGUAUGAGGGUGAAGCCGCUGACGAAGAGGCUGCGGAAGGAGCAUGGGGUGGACCUGUUGGCAUUCAGCCAGGACGGGGGGUACCAGGGAGUCGUGUCCUUCCUGCAGGAGACGCCGGGUAUCGAACUCUGGAACCCCGAGAAGGGAGAGAAGUGUCGUGUCCUGAGCUGUACCUUUAAGAAGAACGUCACAGACCCCCUGCCGCUGCUCUGCAGCACCCUGGGCUCCUUCCCCAAUGGCCUGCGGGUCUUCAGUCUGAGGAAGGCCAUGUGGCAGAGGCACGGGGUGAACUUGGAGGAAUUCAGCCAGCAACAGGGAUAUCUGAGCACCCUGGACUAUCUGACCAGGCUGCGUGGGAUCAGGCUGCAGGGGCUGGAGAGAGGGGAAAAGUGUCUUGUCCAGCUUCAGAAGGGUGAGGAGAGAGGGAUGGGGUCCAGGCGUCAGGGCUGAACUGGUCUUAGGUAGGAUGAGGGCAGGUUAUCCCACUGCUCACACCAAUGGACAUCCCGCAUCUUCCUCUGAGGCCAAAUGGACUAGAUGGCCCUUUGGGCUUCCUCCCCCAUGAGAUUUCAUCUCCCACAAUGCACUGUCCUACUGCCAUCAUGCACCACCUCCCGCCACCAAGAAUAGAGGCUAUGGUGCAUUGUGGGAGAUGUAGUCCGACCAGGGAGCCUGGGCUGUAGAGGAGAAUGGCAGUCACAAGGCAUCUGAACUACAACUCCCAUGAAGCACCGCAGUGACUUUUCUAAAUUGAAACAGCUCACUGAAAACUUGAAAUUUUCUAUGGAAAAUCUGGAGCACAGUGAGUCCUUUUUGCCUCAUGUUUUCUUGACAAGCACGACCCCCCCCCCUUUUUUUUUUUGACAAAAGCGACUUUUUUCCCUCACUCUUUUUUGACAUCAGCCAUUUUUCUCUGAUUUUUGACAAAAGCGAGGUUUUUUCCCUCCAUAUUUUUUUUUGACAAAAAUGACAGUUUUCCAUCUGUUUUCUUGACA